UACGGAGGAUGCAAGCGUUAUCCGGAAUGAUUGGGCGUAAAGCGUCCGCAGGUGGCAAUGUAAGUCUGCUGUCAAAGCGUCUGGCUCAACCAGAUAAAGGCAGUGGAAACUACAAGGCUAGAGUACGUUCGGGGCAGAGGGAAUUCCUGGUGUAGCGGUGAAAUGCGCAGAUAUCAGGAAGAACACCCGUGGCGAAGGCGGUUCUCUGGGACGGUACUGACGCUGAGACGCGAAAGCGUGGGGAGCGAACAGG
rnacentral:rRNA from 1 species